UACGUAGGGUGCGAGCGUUAAUCGGAAUUACUGGGCGUAAAGCGUGCGCAGGCGGUUAUGUAAGACAGGUGUGAAAUCCCCGGGCUUAACCUGGGAACUGCAUUUGUGACUGCAUAGCUAGAGUACGGUAGAGGGGGAUGGAAUUCCGCGUGUAGCAGUGAAAUGCGUAGAUAUGCGGAGGAACACCGACGGCGAAGGCAAUCCCCUGGACCUGUACUGACGCUCAUGCACGAAAGCGUGGGGAGCAAACAGG
rnacentral:rRNA from 1 species